AGCGUCUCCGCAGGCCAGCGACUCUGGAAUCAUUUACCACAGAAUCUGACUGUCAACUCUUUGUCAUAAAAAGAUGCAGAUCUUCUCCAUGUGAGAGGCUAAGAGGUACCCAGACUGUGCCUAGCAUCCUUCUCAGAAGAGCAAGAACAUGUGCAAAGGAAAUUGACAGCAAUGGAGUCAAAGUCACACGGCGGAUGUUUGGUUUUCUUCCUGAAAGCUGUGCAUUGUAUGAUAAAAAUGCUGAACAUCCCUCAGCAAUGCUACUGAAGAAAGCAAACUUACGCAGAUGAUGACAGCAUUAUUUUGCCAAAAAUUCAUAAUAUUCAAAAUAACAUUUCAUCAGAGAGAAACUACCUUCCAUCAAAGACCAUCAGAAUCCAAGGAAUCAUGCAGCCUGUACACCCCCUGCCUGUUCUCAGCAGUUUCUGUCUGGCAUGCCUCAAUGGGCCCCGGACAAAGAGACCCUCAAAUCAGCGAGGCUGAAGAAGAAAGGCAAUUUGAAGCCUCUCUCCUCCAGUUUAAAAGGCAGUUUCUAAAGUGCUUGCAGCAAAUCAGCUUAUGGUCAAAGUGCACACCAAUAAGAGACAUCAGGUAUGGGUCACAAAGGCUGUAUGAAGCAGAUUUGACUAUGUCAGUCAGAGUCUGCCUGGAAGACAGCUCGUGCCCAGAUGGUUUAUCAUGGGUAUCUAAUACAAAAGCAAGUCACAGAGGUAUUAGAAGAUCUGAAAACAAGGGAAGUGAAGCAAUCCAGACACUGACAACUGCAGGAAGCUGUUACCACAACAAGGGUUGGAGGGGCAAAGAGAAGGGAUAUAUAUACCAGGGUCCAGGAGAUGGGGCCUUUGAGGGCUGAUCUGCUUGGUGAGAACAGACUUCCAGGAGAGAUAAAGCCCAUGCUGGAAAAGCCUGUGGACACAGAGAUGAGUUACGAAUACCAUAGCUUCACCCCUCCUCCACCGACCCUCUAAUUUCCUGUAAGUGCUUCCAUUGGCUGAAUCUAACAGGAAGUGGUGGGUAAAGACUUCUGGGAAGUGUAGUUUGCAUUGUUAUCCCACUGUUCUAGAGGGCAGGGAUGGGCUUCCUG
rnacentral:lncRNA from 1 species